AGAGAGAGACAUGCGCGCAUAUCAAUAAGCGGAGGAAAAGAAACUAACAAGGAUUCCCCUAGUAACGGCGAGUGAAGCGGGAAGAGCUCAAAUUUGAAAUCUUAAAGGGUUUCCCUUUACGAAUUGUAGUUUAAAGAAGUGUUUUCUGUUGAGGUUUUGGUAAAAGUUCUUUGGAAUAGGACAUCAUAGAGGGUGAGAAUCCCGUAUUUGACCUUUACUUUCAACUUUGUGAUACACUUUCAAAGAGUCGGAUUGUUUGGGAAUGCAGUCCAAAAUGGGUGGUAAAUUUCAUCUAAAGCUAAAUAUUGGCGAGAGACCGAUAGCGAACAAGUACCGUGAGGGAAAGAUAGAAAAGAACUUUGAAAAGAGAGUUAAACAGUACGUGAAAUUGUCAAAAGGGAAGCGUUUGACACCAGUGUUGUUUUUCUGAAAAUCAAUUAAAGAACUGUUUAUGCUAAGCUGUUUAGACUUUAUCAGCUAACUGUUUAGUUUUGAGCUUUUCUUUAAUGCACUUUUCAGUUAACAAGUCAACAUCAAUUUCUUUUGCUGUAAAAAAGCUUGAGGAAGGUGGCUUGAGAUUCGUCUUAAGUGUUUAUAGCCUCUUGCCUAUGCAGUCGGAGAGAUUGAGGUCUGCAGCGUAGAUCCUUCGGGGCUAAAUGCAUUUGUGCUAAGUUAUAGCAUUUUAUAGACAACUUGUUGACUAUGAUUUGUCUUGUAGCUUACUCGCUUAUGUUAUUUUACCUACGCUUAGGAUGUUGACGCAUGAGAUAUACGC
rnacentral:rRNA from 1 species